rnacentral:siRNA from 1 species
AAUGUAUAUAUAUGAUUGUAGUUA